GAUGAACGCUGGCGGCGUGCCUAAUACAUGCAAGUCGAGCGAACAGAUGAGGAGCUUGCUCCUCUGACGUUAGCGGCGGACGGGUGAGUAACACGUGGAUAACCUACCUAUAAGACUGGGAUAACUUCGGGAAACCGGCGCUAAUACCGGAUAAUAUAUUGAACCGCAUGGUUCAAUAGUGAAAGACGGUUUUGCUUUCACUUAUAGAUGGAUCCGCGCCGCAUUAGCUAGUUGGUAAGGUAACGGCUUACCAAGGCGACGAUGCGUAGCCGACCUGAGAGGGUGAACGGCCACACUGGAACUGAGACACGGUACAGACUCCUACGGGAGGCAGCAGUAGGGAAUCUUCCGCAAUGGGCGAAAGCCUGACGGAGCAACGCCGGGUGAGUGAUGAAGGUCUUCGGAUCGUAAAACUCUGUUAUGAGGGAAGAACAAAUGUGUAAGUAACUAUGCACGACUUGACGGUACCUAAUCAGAAAGCCACGGCUAACUACGUG
rnacentral:rRNA from 1 species